CAAACGGGCGACAAGUCCUAGGGCUUCAGUUUGUGUUCGUAGUCCACCCGAAUGCCCGGGGGGGCAAGCCUAUGGGCUGUCGCAGCGUGGCAAACUCGGCAUCGUGGAUCGCCCAGGUUCCGGCGGGCCGGGACCUGAUGUGAACGUACAACGUGAGCCCCGUCAUCUAUUGUCGACGUAUCCGGGGCUCGCGAACUGCGUUUCCCGGCAUGCAACGGGCACGGCCAAAGCGGCUGAAUCCACGCACUGCGUGGCUGCAGCGACGCGACGCGCAAGUUGCCAGCGAUUCUUUGUUCUUUUUCUUCCGAGGCCAAGAUCGAUUUGCUCCCCCGCCCCUCCCUUCUUGGACCGUGCUUGUUAUUGAGCCUGUAAACUACAUUUCCCAAGAUGCCACGCGCAAGAUGGCGCCCAUUCAUUUUUCGCGUGCCGGGAAGCGAAAUUACCACUCGGGGCAUAAACGUGACAGGGGCUGAGGUGGAAGGAUCGCUUGAGUCCAGGACUUCAAGACCAGCCUGGGCAAUAUGGUGAGAUCCCCGUCUCUACAAAUAAUAAAAAUAGCCGGGCGUGGUGGUGUGUGCGAGUAGUUCCAGCUACUUGGGAGGCUGAGGUGGGAGGAUUGCAUGAGCCUGGGAGGUCAAGGCUGCAGUGAGCCUUGAUCUUGCCACUGCACUCCACUGUGGGUGACAGAGUGAGACCCUGUCUCAACAAACAAACAAAACCAGUUGUUAAACCAGCUGUUUAACAACCAGUUUGCAAAAUUUCUGAAAAUUGAACAGCUCCUCCCAACCUGUAUAAGUUGGCUCCAGCAUGUCCUUCCCUUUGUUCAUUCAUUUUAAUCCUGGCAACAUGCAUAUGAGUAUUAGCCAGGGGCGGCGGCAUGUGCCUUUAGUCCCAGCUACUCCAGAGGCUGAGGUGGGAGGAUCCCUGGAGCCCAGGGGUUUGAAUCUAGUCUGGGCAACAUAGCGAGAACCCAUGUCUCUUUAAAAAAUAAAAGGGCUGGAUGCAGUGGCUCACGCCUAUAAUCCCAGAACUUUGGGAGGGCGAGGCGGGGGGAUCACUUGAGGUCAGGAGUUGGAGACCAGCCUGGCCAACAUAGUGCAACCCCGUCUCUACUAAAAAUACAAAAAUUAGCUGGGCGUGGUGAUGCGCACCUCUAGUCCCAGCUACUCAGGAGGCCAAGGUGGGAGGAUCACUUGAACCUGGGAGGUGGAGGUUGCAGUGAGCCGACAUCGUGCUACUGCACUCCAGCUUGGGCGACAGAGUGAGACCCUGUCUCAAGAAAAAAAAAAAAAACAGAAUGAUUGAUUCCUUAGCACACGAGCUUCACCAGGCAGGGAUUCCUGUUCUGUCAUGUUCACUGCUGCCUCCCAGUGCCUGGAACAGGGGUGGCGCACAGUUGGUGUUCAAUAAAUGUUGGUUGAAUUCA